UGGUCCGUUGGUCAAGGGGUUAAGACAUCGCCUUUUCACGGCGGUAACACGGGUUCGAAUCCCGUACGGACUAU
rnacentral:tRNA from 1 species